AAGUUGGCUGUGAUUUGGCU
rnacentral:miRNA from 1 species